AGACGCUCCAGUCACCUUGCCCGUCCGGGCGCGCAGCCUUUCCGAAACCGGCUCACCCACGGGGCCCUAAAUUACGGCGAUUACACUGCAAUUCGCGGCGCGAUAUUACUUUGAUACACUACCUGCUGUAGCCGGCACUUGGAGGCGUGCAUUAUUUACCAGGGAGGCUGCCCGCGCUGCGCACCAGAACCGCCAGCGCUCGGCAGGGUCUUUCCUGUCCCUGCAGCCCAGCCCACGCUGACACAGUGCGGGGUCUUGGCGGGGAGAGGACAGGAGCAGCCACCCUUUCUCCGAGUGACCCUUUCCUGACCGCGAUAUAGGCCAGGAGAGGAACGAGCAACAGAAGUGGCAGCUGCCAAUGAAGUUGGGGGUGGGUGGGUAGGGAGAGGCGCUGAGCUCCGGCUCCUCCUGCUCUGAAGGACACCUCUGGUCCCCCUUACCUGUCCUAGGAGCCCCUGUCGGGCACGUCCUGGGACCCGAGCGAGAGGAGGGCGCGUCCAGAGCGCAAAGCUCGCGGAGACUGGCUAACCGCAGCAGCCAGUUAACCCUGGACCAGUCUCCACUGGGCCUGUGCCCUCCGGUUGGCGAAGACAAGGGAGAUCCGGCUACGUCCCUCCCCUAGGUCUCUGGAAGCUGAAGCCGCUGCAGCCAAGGCCUGGUUUCAUUCUGGCUGGGGGCUGAGGGCUGGAGUUGGACAGCCGGCCUCUCUGCGGUUCCCCCAUUAUGGCUUGGCAUCAGCAUCUAGAUUGCAGGAUUGAUGGAGCCAGAAACCUCCUGCAGGGGCCCCCAGAGGUUCUUGCAUCCAGUGUGGCAUCCAGACAGUGUGUGGUUAAUGAGUCCGAAGAAAGGACCAGCGUCGUGGAGGAGUCUGGCAGCCCUGCAGGAGCACCUGGAGCACCUGGCUGUGGAGGGGCUUCUGGAAGGAAGCACAGGAGCAGAGGAAGGAGAAGGAGUUCAAAUGCCCGUACCUCCCGGGAGUUCCCAUCGUGGCGCAGUGGAAACGAAUCCAACUAGGAACCAUAAAGUUGCAGGUUCAUCAUUUUCUGGGACCAGAGUCCAGUCUCCUGAAUUCUAGCUCUUCUUGGGAACAGCAGGUAGAAGGAGUGAAUCCUACAGGACUCCCAGGACAGCCCUUCUGCUCUUUCAGGGCAGUCACCUUGUCCACACCCCACCUUAUCAUCUUGGGGCUACACCUGCCAGGCCUCCUUACGCUGCCGCUUUAGAGUCCCCACACAACCUCAGCUCUGACAAGAAUUGAUUACGCUUCCGGUCUGAUGGCAGCGCCCCUGGUUUCCAGGGAGUUCCGAGUCUGGGAGAUAGUCUUCUGACAACCAAAACAAUGAAUAGCAAAAUUGCACGGGCAUUUGGGACUGUUGGAUGUCCAGCUGGCACACUUGCUGGUCUAGAAAUGUCCUCAGAGGUGAGUGGGUUUAGUCAAGCCGACCAGAGAGAAGAAUUUUUUAAUUCUAAAACAGCUGUCCUUAUAAAAUAAAAAUAAAUAAAAUAAAACAGCUGCCCUGCCUUUUUCCAAGAGGGCCUGCUGCAGGGCCCCUACCCUC
rnacentral:lncRNA from 9 species